UCUCCAUGUAAUAUGUCGCCCCUUCGAAUUCUUCUUCAUCCUCUAUAUUAAAUCAUCUCUUCCUAAACCCUUGCAUCUUUCAUCUACCUCACAUAAGAAGCAAAAAAAAAUUCCAGCAACAAUAUCUCGCAAAAUCGAUUUUGUUGGUGAUAUUGAUGAUUCCCAACAACAAUGUCCCCAAACUAUUAUCUUCCUUUCUAAAAUUUGACACCAAGGGUGUGAUUCAAUUUCAUCUUGAAGGUUCUUUGAAGAAAAUAAUUGAGACCCAUAGAUCUGUUUCGUGAAGCAGAAAACAUUUAGCAUUCUCACUUUAAAAGUGUUGGUUGAAUUUCAACCGUUGUUGCAAGAUAAAAGGUUUAUGUGUGAACAAGCUGAGACUGGCAGGUGGAAUUGGUAUCUUUUUCAAGUUGCAAUGGCUUUGAUAUCAUUGUAUUUAAAACAUGGGAUUACACUUUCAAAGAUUUUGAUCUUGAGGUAGUUAUUGUA